rnacentral:rRNA from 1 species
AAUAUUGGACAAUGGGCGAAAGCCCGAUCCAGCCAUGCCGCGUGUGAGAAGAAGGGCUUCGGAUCGUAAAGCACUUUAAGUUGGGAGGAAGGGCAGGAAGCUAAUACCUUGCUGUUUUGACGUUACCGACAGAAUAAGCACCGCCUGACUUCGUGCCAGCAGCCGCGGUAAUACGGAAGGCGCAAGCGUUAAUCGGAAUUACUGGGCGUAAAGCGGGCGUAGGUGGGUUGUUAAGUUGGAAGUGAAAGCCCCGGGCUCAACCUGGGAACUGCUUUCAAAACUGGCAAGCUAGAGUAUGGGAGAGGGUGGUCGAAUUUCCUGUGUAACGGGGAAAUGCGUAGGUAUAGGAAGGAACACCAGUGGCGGAGGCGACCACCUGGGCUAAUACUGACACUGAAGUGCGAAAGCGUGGGGAGCAAACAG